UACGAAGGGGGCAAGCGUUGUUCGGAAUUACUGGGCGUAAAGGGCGCGUAGGCGGCCAUCUAAGUCAGACGUGAAAUCCCCCGGCUUAACCUGGGAACUGCGUCUGAUACUGGAAGGCUUGAGUAUGGGAGAGGGAUGUAGAAUUCCAGGUGUAGCGGUGAAAUGCGUAGAUAUCUGGAGGAACACCGGUGGCGAAGGCGGCAUCCUGGACCGAUACUGACGCUGAGGAGCGAAAGCCAGGGGAGCAAACGGG
rnacentral:rRNA from 1 species